GAGAGUAACACGUGGGAACGUGCCCUUCAGUUCGGAACAACCCAGGGAAACUUGGGCUAAUACCGGAUACGUCCGUAAGGAGAAAGAUUUAUCGCUGAAGGAUCGGCCCGCGUCUGAUUAGCUAGUUGGUGAGGUAACGGCCUACCAAGGCGACGAUCCGUAGCUGGUCUGAGAGGACGACCAGCCACACUGGGACUGAGACACGGCCCAGACUCCUACGGGAGGCAGCAGUGGGGAAUAUUGGACAAUGGGGGCAACCCUGAUCCAGCGACGCCGCGUGUGUGAAGAAGGCCUGCGGGUUGUAAAGCACUUUUAGUGGGGAUGAAAAGCUCAGGGAUAACACCUCUGGGUCUUGACCUAACCCACAGAAAAAGCACCGGCUAACUCUGUGCCAGCAGCCGCGGUAAU
rnacentral:rRNA from 1 species